UGAGGCCAUGAACAAGAAGGGAUUGUUGUCUCAAAAUGCUAGGCUUUUGGAAGUAGUGAGUGCGCCGCAACGAGGCAGUCUGAAAGCAGGUAACGCCUUCUAAGGGAUGACGACGGAGGGCAUCCUCAGACCCGGCACAGAGUCAGGGUCACACCGGCUAGUGGGAGAGUCCAGCCGAUGCGUAGCAACGGAACCACUCGGCAAUGGAGUGGUUGAUCGAUUACGCGGCGCCCGGGUAGACAUUCACUAUCGGCUUUGGUAGAAAGUCGAAAGGGAGUACACUCCCUUUCUUAAUAGGCCAUAAUCGGGGCCAAAGGGCCUCAAUAGGGUCAGAAUGUCCGUCCAACGGGUGCACAAUGAGUGGGCAGGCGGCGACUGAAGUCCCUCGUUCGAGGGUAGACAGGCGAGCUGAACGUACAUAAUCCGUGCGGCGGUCGCAAGCAGGACUCGGUACCUAGUUUGAG
rnacentral:rRNA from 1 species